rnacentral:rRNA from 1 species
GGCGGUUUGUUGCGUCGGCUGUGAAAACCUGAGGCUCAACCUCAGGCCUGCAGUCGAUACGAGCAGACUAGAGUGUUGCAGGGGAGACUGGAAUUCCUGGUGUAGCGGUGAAAUGCGCAGAUAUCAGGAGGAACACCGGAGGCGAAGGCGGGUCUCUGGGCAACAACUGACGCUGAGGAGCGAAAGCGUGGGGAGCGAACAGGAUUAGAUACCCUGGUAGUCCACGCCGUAAACGUUGGGCGCUAGGUGUGGGGCUCAUUCCACGAGUUCCGUGCCGCAGCUAACGCAUUAAGCGCCCCGCCUGGGGAGUACGGCCGCAAGGCUAAAACUCAAAGGAAUUGACGGGGGCCCGCACAAGCGGCGGAGCAUGUUGCUUAAUUCGAUGCAACGCGAAGAACCUUACCUAGGCUUGACAUGCACGGAAAUCCUCCAGAGAUGGUGGGUCCGUAAGGGCCGUGCACAGGUGGUGCAUGGUUGUCGUCAGCUCGUGUCGUGAGAUGUUGGGUUAAGUCCCGCAACGAGCGCAACCCUUGUCUUAUGUUGCCAGCACGUUAUGGUGGGGACUCGUGAGAGACUGCCGGGGUUAACUCGGAGGAAGGUGGGGAUGACGUCAAAUCAUCAUGCCCCUUAUGUCCAGGGCUUCACACAUGCUACAAUGGUCGGUACAACGCGUCUGCGAGCCUGUGAGGGUGAGCUAAUCGCUGUAAAGCCGGUCGUAGUUCGGAUUGGGGUCUGCAACUCGACCCCAUGAAGUCGGA